GCUAAAAUUUGAAAUAAAAUUCCCAAAUUUCUUCUUCUUCCUCGCAAAAUGGAAGUCGAAUUAGGGUUUUUUUCUGGCUCUUCGUUCAGUCACACCACGUUAAGUUGGGCUCUGCGGCAACAAUGGAGGAUUAUAUCUCGAUUAGAAUUUAAUCUCAGUGGAUGAUUAAAGGAAUCAAUCCAGUUUCGUAAGUCAAAAUGACCUACACGGUCUUUGACAACUUCUACCUCAUGGAUGAACAACUCAGGCAUUCACCCUCUUACAAAAAUGGGAUUGACAAACACACAGAAAUGAUGCUUCGGAUCUAGAGGUGUGAACUCAUCCAGGAGAGUGGCAUUUUGCUGAGAUUGUAUCCUUUUUAGCUACUAAGUAUCAUAUUAACAGUUAACUUUCAAUCAUAUGUUAUUUUUGAUACGAUAGGAGAUCGACCUCUUGUAAAAUAUUUUCCUGUGUCACUCGAUUGUUAAAGGCCUCGAGCUGUCAUGGCCAGGGACAGGUUCUCUUCCACCGAUUCUAUUGCAAGGCAUCAUUCUUUAAUAUUACCUUAUGUCAAUAUCUGGUGCAUUAUAUUUUGUCUGACAUAUUAAUUUUUUUGAAUUCUAAUUUUUUUAAGAGGGUUGCUACUAUCUCUAUUUGGCUUGCGUCGAAGUUGGAGGAGAAACUCAGAAAAGCAAGCCAAGCUCUGAUUGUCUUCCACAUAAUGGAAUGUCGGAGAGAUAAUUUACCAAUAGAGCUUUUGGAUUUGUUCUCUAAGAAAUAUCCAAAAAUUGAAGGACUUGAUAAGGACAAGAUGAUAUUUGUAAGCAGAACUGGGCUUUGUCUGCCAUUUAGCACUUCCUCAGAACUGUAUCUCCCACUAGCUUGAAACACUUGAUAACCCUUACGAACUGAGAUUGAAAGCAUGGAAUCUCAAUCUCGCCAACGAUAGGCAGAGGAAGGCUGAUGAAUUACGGGAGUCAUGGAGAUCUUCCAAUGAUCAUGAAUGUAAUUUUCAUUCAAAAUAAUGUCGUCAUUUGGAAAUACUCCAGUCAGUCGCCAAAUCAUAAACCUUCUCCUUUGAUCAUCAUUCGUCUUCACAAACAUAUCCUUCACAUC